AGGGUCUCCACAAAAGGUCGGGAGGGCAGGGUUUUAACACCCGCGGGGUCGAAGGCCAACGAAAAACAGCUUUUCGCUGCGAAACAAAUUUGAAAAGGCGUGCCUGAUUGGCAUUGCAGCUGUCCAGUGCUAGGAUCCUGGCUUCACUUCCUGGGGUGCUGUCUGUGUGGAGUCUGUAUGUUCUCCCUGGCUUUGCAUGGCUUGCCUCCUGGUGCUCCAGUUCCCUCCCAGAGGUUGAUGAUAUACUGUGCACUGAUUCAGCCAUCCCCUUGUUUCCAUGGAAACGGGCCCAAAGAAGGAUGCUGGGGAGAACAGCCUUGGUGAAACAGCUCAUCUCUU